rnacentral:rRNA from 1 species
AGAGUUUGAUCAUGGCUCAGAUUGAACGCUGGCGGCAGGCCUAACACAUGCAAGUCGAGCGGAGGAAAGGAGCUUGCUCCUGGAAUCAGCGGCGGACGGGUGAGUAAUGCCUGGGAAUCUGCCUGGUAGUGGGGGAUAACGUCUCGAAAGGGACGCUAAUACCGCGUACGUCCUACGGGAGAAAGCAGGGGAUCUUCGGACCUUGCGCUAUCAGAUGAGCCCAGGCCGGAUUAGCUUGUUGGUGAGGUAAUGGCUCACCAAGGCGACGAUCCGUAGCUGGUCUGAGAGGAUGAUCAGCCACACUGGGACUGAGACACGGCCCAGACUCCUACGGGAGGCAGCAGUGGGGAAUAUUGGACAAUGGGCGAAAGCCUGAUCCAGCCAUGCCGCGUGUGUGAAGAAGGUCUUCGGAUUGUAAAGCACUUUAAGUUGGGAGGAAGGGGUUGAAGCUAAUACCUUCAAUCUUUGACGUUACCAACAGAAUAAGCACCGGCUAACUCUGUGCCAGCCGCCGCGGUAAUUC